rnacentral:rRNA from 1 species
ACUCAAAUGAAUAGACGGGGGCCCGCACAAGCGGUGGAGUAUGUGGUUUAAUUCGAAGCAACGCGCAGAACCUUACCUGGCCUUGACAUGGUGGGACGUCGGCAGAGAUGUCGAUCGCCCUUCGGGGACCCACGCACAGGUGCUGCAUGGCUGUCGUCAGCUCGUGUUGUGAAAUGUUCGGUUAAGUCCGGCAACGAGCGCAACCCCUGUCCUUAGUUACCAACAUUAAGUUGGGGACUCUAGGGAGACUGCCGGUGUUAAACCGGAGGAAGGCGGGGAUGACGUCAAGUCCUCAUGGCCCUUACGGCCAGGGCUACACACGUACUACAAUGGUCGAGACAAACCGUUCCGAAACCGCGAGGUGGAGGUAAUCGGUAAAACACGAUCUCAGUCCGGAUUGAAGUCUGCAACUCGACUUCAUGAAGUUGGAAUCGCUAGUAAUCGCAGAUCAGCACGCUGCGGUGAAUACGUUCCCGGGCCUUGUACACACCGCCCGU